AUACGAAGGGCCCGAGCGUUGCGCGGAAUCACUGGGCUUAAAGCGUGCGCAGGCGGAUCCGUAAGUACCUUGUGAAAUCCCAUGGCUCAACCAUGGAACUGCUCGGUAUACUGCGGAUCUUGAGAUCGGUAGGGGCCAUCGGAACGAUAGGUGGAGCGGUGAAAUGCGUAGAUAUCUAUCGGAACGCCUAAGGCGAAGGCAGAUGGCUGGGCCGAUUCUGACGCUCAUGCACGAAAGCGUGGGGAGCGAACGGGAUUAGAAACCCCAGUAGUCC
rnacentral:rRNA from 1 species